UGCCCCCUACGGGGCGCAGCAGUGGGGAAUAUUGGACAAUGGGGGGAACCCUGAUCCAGCGACGCCGCGUGAGUGAAGAAGUAUUUCGGUAUGUAAAGCUCUAUCAGCAGGGAAGAAAAUGACGGUACCUGACUAAGAAGCCCCGGCUAACUACGUGCCAGCAGCCGCGGUAAUACGUAGGGGGCAAGCGUUAUCCGGAUUUACUGGGUGUAAAGGGAGCGUAGACGGCAGCGCAAGUCUGAAGUGAAAUCCCAUGGCUUAACCAUGGAACUGCUUUGGAAACUGUGCAGCUGGAGUGCAGGAGG
rnacentral:rRNA from 1 species